rnacentral:rRNA from 1 species
UACGUAGGGGGCAAGCGUUGUCCGGAUUCAUUGGGCGUAAAGAGCUCGUAGGCGGCUUGGCAAGUCGGGUGUGAAACCUCCAGGCUCAACCUGGAGACGCCACCCGAUACUGCUAUGGCUAGAGUCCGGUAGGGGACCACGGAAUUCCUGGUGUAGCGGUGAAAUGCGCAGAUAUCAGGAAGAACACCCGUGGCUAAGGCGGCUCUCUAGUACGGUACUGACGCUGAGACGCGAAAGCGUGGGGAGCGAACAGG